rnacentral:rRNA from 1 species
UACGUAGGGUGCAAGCGUUGUCCGGAAUUAUUGGGCGUAAAGAGCGUGUAGGCGGCCGCACAGGUCCGUUGUGAAAACUGGAGGCUUAACCUUCAGACGUCGAUGGAAACCGUGCGGCUAGAGUCCGGAAGAGGAGAAUGGAAUUCCUGGUGUAGCGGUGAAAUGCGCAGAUAUCAGGAAGAACACCCGUGGCUAAGGCGGUUCUCUAGUACGGUACUGACGCUGAGACGCGAAAGCGUGGGGAGCGAACAGG